CUCCAGAACAAGGACCUCCCCGGUGCCCCAUUGGAACGUUUACACCAAUUAAUCAGAACGUUCUCACUUGCAACAUAGGUGUGAAACUGCAAGGGAAGUAAUUAAUGAGUGCUCCCCUAUGUGGCAGCCAUUUCAUAUAGACGAAUGCCGUCCAGGCAUUCAUAUCCCAAAAGGAGAUGCUUCCCUUGCAGGGUUUCACCCAGAGAUCUCACGAGUAGAGCCUGGACGAGGAAGGUACCGCUGUGAG